rnacentral:rRNA from 1 species
GUCCACGCCGUAAACGAUGAGUGCUAGACGUUGGGAGGCCUAGCCUUCCGGUGUCGCAGCUAACGCAUUAAGCACUCCGCCUGGGGAGUACGGCCGCAAGGUUAAAACUCAAAGGAAUUGACGGGGCCCGCACAAGCGGUGGAGCAUGUGGUUUAAUUCGAAGCAACGCGCAGAACCUUACCAGCCCUUGACAUGGGGAGGUGUGAGCCUGGGAGACCGGGUUCUUCAGUUCGGCUGGCUCCCGCACAGGUGCUGCAUGGCUGUCGU